AUUUCUGAUGCUUCAUUCUUCAAUCUAUCAUACAAAUCAGUUAACCUCAAGUCGCAACUACUUCAUGGAGGCCAAGGAUCACAUCUGGAAUCUGUCAUCAGGAAAAGGAUCAUGGAUUUUCUUAAUAUUUCUCAAAAUGAUUACUGUAUGGUAUUUACUGCAAAUAAAUCAUCAGCUUUCAAGCUACUAGCAGAAUCCUACCCUUUCCAACACAGCCGAAACCUUCUCACAGUUUAUGACUACGAGAGUGAAGCACUGCAGACCAUGGUGAAUACAUCAGAGAGAAGAGGAGCCAAAAUCAUGUCAGCUGAGUUCAAGUGGCCACGGCUAAGGGUUCACUCAACAAAACUCAGGAAAAUGAUUGGCAGGAAGAAUAAAAAGAAAAAACACCAGGGUCUAUUUGUCAUGCCCCUCCAGUCGAGAAUGACUGGUGCCAGUUACUCUUAUCAGUGGAUGAGUAUCG
rnacentral:lncRNA from 1 species